rnacentral:rRNA from 1 species
AUUUACUGGGUGUAAAGGGAGCGUAGACGGACAAUUAAGUCUGAAUGUGAAAUCACCGGGCUCACCCGGGAACUGCUUUGGAAACUGUUUUUCUUGAGUGUCGGAGAGGUAAGCGGAAUUCCUGGGGUAGUAUUGAAAUGCGUAGAUAUCAGGAAAAACACCGGAGGCAAAGGCGGCUUACUGAACUAUAACUGACGUUGAGGCUCGAAAGCGUGGGGAGCAAACAGGAUUAGAUACCCUGGUAGUCCACGCCGUAAACAAUGAAUACUAGGUGUUGGGGAGCGAACCGUUUCAGUGCCGGCGCAAACGCAAUAAUUAUUCCACCUGGGGAGUACGUUCGCAAGAAUGAAACUCAAAGGAAUUGACGGGCACCCGCACAAGCGGGGGAGCGUGUGUUUUAUUUCGAACCAACGCAAAGAACCUUACCAAGUCUUGACAUCCCAUUGACAGAGCAAGUAAUGUACUUUCCCUUCGGGGCAAUGGAGACAGGUGGUGCGUGGUUGUCGUCAGCUCGUGUCGUGAGAUGUUGGGUUAAGUCCCGCAACGAGCGCAACCCUUAUCUUCUGUAGCCAGCAUUAAGAUGGGCACUCUGAAGAGACGGCCAGGAAUAACCUGAAGGAAGGUGGGAAUGACGUCAAAUCAUCAUGCCCCUUAUGACUUGGGCCACACACGUGCUACAAUGGCGUAAACAAAGAGAAGCGAGAGGGCGACCUUAGGCAAAUCCCAAAAAUAACGUCUCAGUUCGGACUGUAGUCUGCAACCCGACUACACGAAGCUGGAAUCGCUAGUAAUCGCGGAUCACAAUGCCGCGGUGAAUACGUUCCCGGGUCUUGUACCCACCGCCCGUCACACCAUGGGAGUUGGUAAUGCCCGAAGUCAGUGAUCCAACGUAAGAGGAAGCUGCCCAAGGCAAGACUGAUAACUGGGGUGAAGUCGUAACAGGGUGGGGUAAGGGGAGAAAA